AUCACCUAGGCCUCAACAUGACUGGCCUCCGUAGAUGAAGACUCACUGAUAUGCUCUGCAAUAAGAGAUGUAGCUCUCUCCUAUAUUCAAAAAAAAUAUAUUAAUUUUAUAAUUAAUAUAUAAAGUAUAAAUUAUUGUACUAAAUGAUUAUAAAUACAUACAAAUAUAUCUCUCGACUUGUCAGUCACAAAAUGACCAUCUCGAUGAACAUAAGUCAUCCUAUAAAACUCCACC
rnacentral:lncRNA from 1 species